rnacentral:lncRNA from 12 species
AUGGAGUGCCCCUCCAGGGGACCUAUGGGGUUUUUGGGGGGUCCCUUCUGUGGUUUAUAUGUCAUGGUUUCUCUGGGUUGCUUCCACUUGCCAGCAGACAGGUGCUGCCCCACUGAGCCCCCAGUUGGAGAGGCCUCUGGGGUGGUGGGAGCCCUCGGAAGGACACACUGUAUAGGGGCCCUACACCCCAAGCUACAGGGGCUCCUUCACAGCUUGUGCUGCCCUGGGACGCCUCAGUCACUGAACAAGGGGCCUCCUGGCUGGUGGAAGAACUCCACAGGCCCACGGAAUCCUGGUAGGACCUGGCAGGAGAGCCCUCGGACGCAGGCAGCGCCUGGGCCUGCCUCAACUGUUCCCUCUCCAGCCUGGCUCCAUCCUGAGUGCCAGGGACUGAUGGUCCACGGGCCUACGUACUCCAGCCUCAAAGGAAUCAGAGGUGGCUCCCGUUCCCUACCUCUCUGCCCUCCCUCCAUCCCGUGCUCCCCGUGGAAAUGCCCUCACAGCUGUCUGGGGCAGCUGAUUUCUCACCCCCUGGACUUCCUUCCACAGGCAGCCCCAACAGGACCACUUUGGAUUCCCGUGAGCUGCUUCUGUAACAUCAUCACCAAGAGGACAGGGAAGCUCCGGAGACGGACUGCCUUCAAGACCCCAAGAGCAAAAAAAAAAAAAAAAAAAAAGUAAAAUAAAUUAAAAUAAAAUUAACA